AUGAUGGACUAUAGGACAGGACUGCUGCUUCUAACUAUCUGCUGGACAGGUGUUGAUGGUCAGACUCUCACAGAAUCUGAACCAGCAAUUAAAAAGCCUGGAGAAUCCCACAAACUGACCUGUACAACCUCUGGAUUCACAUUCAGUAGUUCCUGGGUGAAUUGGAUCAGACAGGCUCCUGGAAAAGGACUGGAGUGGAUUGCAACUAUCAGUAAUAGUGGUGGUAGCAGCCAAUACUACUCUCAGUCAGUUCAAGGCCGGUUCACCAUCUCCAGAGAUGACAGCAGACAGCAGCUGUAUCUGCAGAUGAACAGUCUGAAGACUGAAGAUUCUGCUGUUUAUUAUUGUGCUCGAGUGGCAAAUGAUGAAUUUAACUUUUCAGUAUCAGUAAAAAAUCUGUUCAUCUAUAUUAAUACGUGA